AUGAAGCAAGAAGUAUAUGCUGACAGGAGACAGAGCAUAUCAAAUACAGAGUUGAAUGCUAGCAACAAUCCAUUGAACUGACAAGGCUUUGCUGUUGCAGGAAUUAGAGAAAGGAUAAAAGGAGCUGAACAGACUUGAAUCCCCAUAAGAACAACAAUACCAACCAACCAUCAGUCCCAGGGGCAAAAACACUACCCAAAGACUACACAUGGACAGACCCAUGACUCCAGCUGCAUAUGUUUGACACCCACGGGAGAAGAAGCCCUUGGUCCUGACACAGUUGGAACCCCCCGCAGUAUUUAUUGUGAAGCACAGUGAACGAAAUGUUUCCCUAAACAGAGAUCUGAGGAAGAAGCAUACUCUGUUCUCAGAAUGGCGGUGGACUAUGAAAGAGAAAUCAUGGAAGAGAAGAUGAAAGGCCAAGAUUUUGCUACCUUUCAACUACAUUUACAGUGUAUGUGGAAGCCCGUGGUCAACAUCAGGUAUCUUCUAUCACUCAUCAGCUUUUUAUAAAAGUAGUGUCUUCCAUUGAACCUGGAUCUUACCUAUUUUUGUUGUUGGACUGUCUGCCCAACAAGCUCCAGAAAUUAUAUUGUGACUCAAAUCUGGGAUAACAGGCAUGUGCCACCAUGAUUGGCCCUUUUAAAUGGGUACAGGAAAUAAGCUGAGUUCUUCCUGCAUUAUGCAAAGCACUUUACUCUUAGCCCCCUCUCAAUAACUUACAUUAAAUCCUUUAAGGAUGUUCACAUACCGAUGUUCUGAAAUAUUCUUUCAAAGAGUUUUACCAUCUUGCUGCUUUUAUCAUUACUAUGUGAGUGCAUCAUUGACAAAUUCCAUUCUGUAUUUGCAUGCCAGUAAAUUCAGCUAUAAAGGAAAUAUUAGAUGAUUGUAGAUCUAAACCCAUGACCAUAAGACUCUUGAACACUUUCCUGAAAAGAGCUAUGUGGAAGAUCUCUGACCUUGGAAUGAGAAGAUAGACACUUUGGCUUUUUUAAAGACAUAGGUAAACAUAUAACAAAGACACGUGCUCCACUAUAUUCAUAGCAGGCUUAUUUAUAAUAGCCAGAAGCUGGAAAGAACCCAGAUGCCCUUCAACAGAGGAAUGAAUACAGAAAAUGUGGAACAUCUACACAAUGGAAUAUUACUCAGCUAUCAAAAACAAUGACUUUAUGAAAUUCAUAGGCAAAUGGUUGGAACUGGAAAAUGUCAUCCUGAGUGAGGUAACCCAAUCACAGAAAGAUAUACAUGGUAUGCACUCAUUGAUAAGUGGCUAUUAGCCCAAAUGCUUGAAUUACCCUAGAUGCCUAGAACAAAUGAAACUCAAGACGGAUGAUCAAAAUGUGAAUGCUUCACUCCUUCUUUAAAAGAGGAAAAAGAAUACCCUUGGCAGGGAAGGGAGAGGCAAAGAUUAAAACAGAGACUGAAGGAACACCCAUUCAGAGCCUGCCCCACAUGUGGCCCAUACAUAUACAGCCACCCAAUUAGACAAGAUGGAUGAAGCAAAGAAGUGCAGACCGACAGGAGCCGGAUGUAGAUCGCUCCUGAGAGACACAGCCAGAAUACAGCAAAUAUAGAGGCGAAUGCCAGCAGCAAACCACUGAACUGAGAAUAGGUCCCCUAUUGAAGGAAUCAGAGAAAGAACUGGAAGAGCUUGAAGGGGCUCGAGACCCCAAAAGUACAACAAUGCCAAGCAACCAGAGCUUCCAGGGACUAAGCCACUACCUAAAGACUAUACAUGGACUGACCCUGGACUCUGACCCCAUAGGUAGCAAUGAAUAUCCUAGUAAGAGCACCAGUGGAAGGGGAAGCCCUGGGUCCUGCUAAGACUGAACCCACAGUGAACUAGUCUAUGGGGGGAGGGCGGCAAUGGGGGGAGGGUUGGGAG